AUUGCCUUACUGGCUGGCAACGUCCUUAUCCCUUGCUUGCUAGCUAGCCAAUUUACAGUCACGUCAAACAGUGCAGACAGAAAAACAACAGUAGCUGCAAUUGUUUAAGCUGUUUUCUAGUGACAUUUAUUUGGAUUCAUCCAUAACAAUGAGCUAAUGUUAUGUGAGGCGCGAUUUCGUCAAGAAACUUGUUCAGAGGAGCUAGCCAACACAAUCACUUCACAUUUUAACUGGAAAGACUGCAAACUACAGUAGCUGCACUUUAUUUCGUUUUAACUUUUUUCAAUUGCCAUUUUUUUUGUGAUGCCAGCUGAUUCAUGAUUUCGACUGGCUGAGAAACGCUGCCUGCCUGUCAAUCUCGUCCCGACUCGUUCAUUACUAUGGGACAGCUGUAGAUCGAAUUUGAAUAUUGAAACGAUAUUGCAAAUAUCGGAGAGACAGACAGCAAGGUUAAUACAAAUCUCUGCUGUUGGAAACUAAAUGUUAUUCUAAAAAAAAUGUGAGAUAAUGUCUAGAUGCUUUUUAUAGUGGAGAUCAAGUUUAUAAUUUGCCUGGCUGGGUUGAUGAGACAGUGGAUUGCGCAGUCAAAUGGAACAGAGUAAAUAGCCAUAUUAACGUCAUAGAUUUAGCUCUUGGUAGCUUGUGGAAUAGACACCGGCUGGGAUGCGCUUUUAACCAGCAUUCAGGGUACAGGAUUAGACCCACCCGUUGUAUAAAACAGACCAACAGACCAACACAUCUUCACACGAAUGUCCACGGUGGGUCUCUGUAAAUUAUGCGAUUAUAUUGGAGACAGUUUAAUAGCGGUGACUGUCAUCAAUUCAUUUACUCUUAUAGUAUUUCUAAGUAGAAUCCAUAUCAGCCAGGGAAACUUUGUGAUAGAACAUUCAGAUUUGUCUGCCUGACUGUGGGACUCUAUACCUGAAUUAUUAGGAUUUUUUUGUGAUCACAACAAAACUAGGUAUUUUGAUCAAAUAUAGAUAUAAUAAAUGUUUAUCUUUCAAAAUAUGGGCCUGGCUGAGAAUAUAACAUUAAGUUUUCUGCCUGAGUGUGGCGCUGUUUACCACAUUUUUUAAAUCAUUUUGUGACUGUAACAAAGCUACUUUUACUCAACUAGAGAUGAAAAUAAAUAGUGUUUCUUUAAAAAGAUGGGCCUGGCUAACAUGGACUGUUUCCUCACCUUAUUCUCCUUGUGGUUAUCCAUGGUUGUUGGUUAUUUGCCAGGUAAAAGUAAUUAUUUUGUAUGUUUUUGCUGGACAUCUAGAGAAUAUUAAUUUAUUAUAAUAAUAAACUACUUUAUUCUGCUAACUGCAUACAAGUACAUUUCCCUGUUAUAGGAAUGGAAUGGAGUUGUAGAGUUGUAAUUUAGAGUUAGAAGAAGUGAAAACUAUACAAGGACUGAAGCAAUAGACUCCUCACUCAACUAGAUAUUGAAAUAAAUUGUGUUUCUUUGAAAAGAUGGGCUUGGCUGAUAUAAAAAUACAUUAAGGGGAAAGGAUCCAAUGACACAGAGGCUGAUUAUCUUUCUGCACAUCUCUUUAUUUACAAUGCUGGCUGCCAUUGUUAACACAAUUGCAGGACAUUAAAUGCUACCUGAAUUUACUAAAAAAAGUAACAUAAGUAGGCCUACAGUAUCACAGCGAGGUCAAACAGGUGUGUGUGUGUGUGUUAGUCAGACUGUCCAGUGUCCACAACAACACUACUGAUUAUUCUCUACCCCCAGUGUAUGUGGUGUACUAUGGUUUUAGGCAUGCGCUCACAAACCCUCAUCUUUUCUCUUUCUCUGUCUCUCCUUCCGGAGGACCUGAGGCUCUUGGACUGCGACUGAGGACACCCCAGCCUGACACCUGAAUGUGCCUGGCCCAAUCCCACCUUGCCCUCCUCUACCAGCCUGUGGCUACCUCCACUGAUUCUUUCUCCCCCUCAAGUCACUAACCUACUCCCCACACACCUAGAAACUUGUAUUUCAUUACUUACCAUAUGACUUUAUGAAAGGCCAUCGGUUCAUGGAGUCUUAAAGUGUGAGUACUUUCUCUAUAGUCAUUAUGGAUAUUGUCUGAGCCUGCUGGCCAGUAAUACUGGUAUUGCCCUUUCCUUAUUGAAAUUGUGAAUAAAGGAAGACUAUGCUUUCAUUUUCUAUUAAAACACAAUGAAGACAUUGUUAGAUUGAAUGAAUGCUUUUAUACUGUCUGUAUCUCUGUAUUACAGUAAAUCAAAUACAGAUUCGUGCAAACUGGAAGUGUGACUUCUUUCCCCAAUGAUUUCUGAAGGCUGAGGUACUUUUUCAUUUAUCAGUUAUUCCAUACCAACACUAGAUGAGGCUGAAUGGCAACAACACCACACACACCUGCAAAGCAACUUAUUCAUCUCAUUGCCAUUACAGAACCACCCACCAUCAACGGACCAAGCAGCGUGGGAGAAAGGAGUCAUGGACCUGUGAGGAAAUCCUGGAUGGGGCAGGACCGUGGACAAGGCCGGGAGAAUACCGCCGCCUGCCGGAGGAGAUAGAGGCAGCGAGGGCAGAACGGCGUUUCUGGGAGGAUCGGCUGGCACGGGAAGUGCCAUGCUAGAGUGGGCAUCGAGCCAGGACGGGUUGUGCAGGCCGUGCGCUCCAGACCUCCAGUGCGUCUCCAGGACCCGGUCUAUCCUGUGCCUGCUCCCAGAGCCAGGCCUCCUGCAUGUCUCCCCAGCCUGGUGCGUCCUGUGCCUGCGCCCAGAGCCAGGCCUCCUGCAAGUCUCCCCAGCCUGGUGCGUCCUGUGCCUGCUCCCAGAGCCAGGCCUCCUGCAUGUCUCCCCAGCCUGGUGCGUCCUGUGCCUGCGCCCAGAGCCAGGCCUCCUGCAAGUCUCCCCAGCCUGGUGCGUCCUGUGCCUGCUCCCAGAGCCAGGCCUCCUGCAUGUCUCCCCAGCCUGGUGAGUCCUGUGCCUGCGCCCAGAGCCAGGCCUCCUGCAUGUCUCCCCAGCCUGGUGAGUCCUGUGCCUGCGCCCAGAGCCAGGCCUACUGAAAGGCCCGCCUGUCCGGCGCAGCCAGAGUCGCCCGCCUGUCCGGCGCAGCCAGAGUCGCCCGCCUGUCCGGCGCAGCCAGAGUCGCCCGCCUGUCCGGCGCAGCCAGAGUCGCCCGCCUGUCCGGCGCAGCCAGAGUCGCCCGCCUGUCCGGCGCUGCCGGCGAGGGACCCCGCUCUAGAGGCGCCACCAAAGUGGGGUGAACCAGUGGUGGAGCGGGGUCUGCGUCCCGCUCCUGAGACACCUCCGUAGGGGGGAGGAUUGGGAAGGGGGGUUGUAGCACAAGAACCGUCGUUGACGGUGGCCACCCUCCCUUCCCUCCCUUUUAGUUUGGGGUUGUUUUUGUGUUUUUUUUGUUUUUGUUUGAGGUGCAUUUCGGGGUCUGCAUCUUUGGGGGGGGUGUACUGUCACGUCCUGACCAGUAAAAGGGGUUAUUUGUUAUUGUAGUUUAGUCAGGGCGUGGCAGGGGGUGUUUUUCUGUGUGUUUUGGGGUUACAUUCUAUGUCCUUUUUUGUAUGUUUGGUAUUUCUUUGUUUUUGGCCUGGUAUGGCUCUCAAUCAGGGACAGCUGUACAUCGUUGUCGCUGAUUGGGAGCCAUUCUUAGGUAGCCUGUUUCCCUUUGGGUUUUGUGGGUGGUUUAUUUCUGUUGAGUUAUUUUACCUGACAGAACUGUUUGGCUGUCUUUUGUUUAUUUGUAAAGUGUUCUAAUUUUCCAAUAAAUUACAAAGAUGAG
rnacentral:lncRNA from 1 species